rnacentral:rRNA from 1 species
UACGGGGGGGGGCAAGCGUUUGUUCGGAAUUACUGGGCGUAAAGGGCUCGUAGGCGGCCAACUAAGUCAGACGUGAAAUCCCCUCGGCUUAACCGGGGAACUGCGUCUGAUACUGGAUGGCUUGAGUUCGGGAGAGGGAUGCGGAAUUCCAGGUGUAGCGGUGAAAUGCGUAGAUAUCGGGAGGAACACCAGUGGCGAAGGCGGCGAUCUGGGAACAUACUGACGCUGAGGUGCGAAAGCGUGGGGAGCAAACAGG